AACAGUCUCUUUAACACGGAACACCGAUGGCGGCUAGUUCAGAACACCAUAGUGAUAAUCCUUCAGUUGUGAUGUACGUGUAGUGCACGCGUUUCCAUUGUAAUAACGUACGACUAAAGCGCAUGCACUUUUGUCUCCAAGGACACGACCCAUCACAUCCAACCGGCGUGAUGACGGUGUGAUUGCUCUCGCCGUAAUGCACACGGAAGCGUGUGAUAAGAACACAGCCACCGUACGCACGAGACUCAAACCAGUGCAAAUAAAACCGAAAGAAAAUAAUAACGGGUGAAGGAAAUGGAAAGAGAAAAAAAGAAAAAAAGAGCUUUUACCACAACCGCGAUCGUGUGAAUCGGUUCGUAGUGCACACACACACGCGCACGCACUCUUGGAAAUAUCGUACUCAUCACGGCAUCACAAUGGACGUUUUUCGAACGCAAACACGGCGGCGGCAACGGUAACGGACACAUCCUAUGAGUGUUGACCCUUACCAUAGGGGUCAGUCUACGCCUGCUUCGAGGAACGUGUGCAGUCAUGGUCUGGUGUACACACGCACAACUACACACAGAUAUUGCAGUUAAACUGAAUUCACUACAUGUGAUCUUCGGUUUACUUACAGCGUUGCCGAAUGAGUAGAAGAGGUAAUAGUUCUAAAAAGUAUGCAUGAUGACCACCAAGGUAUUGUGUAUAAUUAAAAACUGUAAAACACAAACAAUUUAUAAAUCUAUAAAAAUGUUUAAUGUGUGUAACAAACCUACACACGUCCCCUCGGGUCGGA